rnacentral:rRNA from 1 species
GAUGAACGCUAGCUACAGGCUUAACACAUGCAAGUCGAGGGACCGGCGCACGGGUGAGUAACACGUAUCCAACCUGCCCUUUACUCGGGGAUAGCCUUUCGAAAGAAAGAUUAAUACCCGAUAUAACGGAUGGGGAUGCGUUCCAUUAGGUUGUUGGUGAGGUAACGGCACACCAAGCCUUCGAUGGUUAGGGUUUCUGUGAGGAAGGUCCCCCAUAUUGGAACUGAGACCCGUUCCAAACUCCGACGGUAGGCAGCAGUGAGGUAUAUUGGUCAAUGUGCGUUAGCCUGAACCAGCCAAUUAGCGUGAAGGAUGAAGGCUUAUGGGUCGUAAACUUCUUUUAUAGAAGAAUAUGUAUUAUAUGAAUAAGGAUCGGCUAACUCCGUGCCAGCAGCCGCGGUAAUAC